AUGAGGUCUGGCCUGCCCGCUGGGUUUCUGAAGGGCCGCAGUAAUUUGACUGUGCAAAGGUAGCAUGAUCAGUAGUCUCUUAAUUGGGGGCUUGUAUGAAUGGUUGGACGAAAGGAAAGCUGUUUCGAGGAUUAAGAUUGAAUUUGACUUUUGUGUGAAAAGGCGUGAAUGUGUUAAGGGGACGAUAAGACCCUAUAAAACUUGAUAGCGUAGCUGUUGCUGGUGAAUUUUGUUUAAAUUUGGUUGCGGUCAUUGUUAUUGUGUUGGGGCGAUAGGGAUAUAAUGGAGCUGUCUUUGAGAUAAAAUAAUUGUGAUUAGAGUUUGAUCCUUUAGUGGGGAUUUGAAGAUUAAGUUACUUUAGGGAUAACAGCGUGAUCUCUUCUGAGAGUUCGUAUCGACGAAGUGGAUUGCGACCUCGAUGUUGAAUUAAAAUUUUCUUGGGGUGCAGGAGUCCCGGGGAUAGGUCUGUUCGACCUU
rnacentral:rRNA from 1 species